rnacentral:rRNA from 1 species
GCGAAAGCUAAGUAAGGGCACACGGGGGAUGCCUUGGCGUCUGGUGCCGACGAAGGACGUGGUACACUGCGAAAAGCGCUGACAAGGUGUGUGCAACCGUUAUAGUCAGCGGUGUCCGAAUGGGGAAACCCGGUGUGGGUCAUGCCACAUCACUCCUUAGGGAGAGGGAACCUGGUGAACUGAAACAUCUAAGUAGCCAGAGGAAAAGAAAGAAUUCCGUUAGUAGUGGCGAGCGAACGCGGAAGAGCCUAAACCCCGCAAGGGGUGUUGUAGGGCUUGGCGGAAGGGAAUGAAAGCGAGUAGAACGGCGUGGGAAAGCCGGCCAAAGAGGGUGAUAGCCCCGUACACGAAGUGGCAGUUCCUGGCUAAGUACCUGAGUACCGCAGGGCACGAGAAACCCAGCGGGAAUCCGGGAGGACCACCUUCCAAGGCUAAAUACACCGACGACCGAUAGUGCAGCAGUACCGUGAGGGAACGGUGAAAAGAACCCCGGCGAGGGGAGUGAAAUAGAAUCUGAAACCGUGUGCCUACAAUCGGUCAAAGCCUCGAAAGGGGUGAUGGCGUGCCUUUUGGAGAAUGAGCCGGCGAGUGCAUUUCAGUGGCAAGCUUAAGGGAGGGACACCCGGAGGCGAAGCGAAAGCGAGUCUGAAUAGGGCGAAGAGUGGCUGGAAUGCGACGCGAAACCUGGUGAGCUACGCAUGGGCAGGGUGAAAGUACCGUAACAGGUACCGGAGGCCCGAACUCACUACUGUUGCAAAAGUAGGGGAUGACCUGUGUGUAGGGGUGAUAUGCCAAACGAACUGGGAGAUAGCUCGUUCUCCCCGAAAUAGCUUUAGGGCUAGCGUUGUCAAAUAGGUGCAGGAGGUAAAGCGCUGGAUGGGCUAGGGGUCGUCCAGAUUACUGAACCCAACCAAACUAUGAAUGCCUGCACGCGAAUGAUGGCGAGUCGGACGGUGGGUUAUGAGAUUCAUCGUCGAGAGGGAAACAACCCAGACCUACAGCUAAGGUCCUGAAGUCCAUGCUCAGUGGGAAACGAUGUGGUCGUGUCGAAACAGCCAGGAGGUUGGCUUAGAAGCAGCCACCCUUUAAAGAGUGCGUAACAGCUCACUGGUCGAACGCGGCUGCGCGGAUAAUGUAACGGGGCUAAGCAUGGCACCGAAGCUUGGGAUCCAAAGCAAUUUGGGUGGUAGGGGAGCGUUCCAGGGGCGGAGAAGGCUGACCGGGAGGUUUGCUGGAGCGCCUGGGAGUGAGAAUGCCGGCAUGAGUAGCGUCAAACAUGUGAGAACCAUGUUCGCCGAAGAUCUAAGGUUUCCGACGGAAGGUCAGUCCACGUCGGGUUAGUCGGGCCUAAGCCGAGGCCGGAAGGCGUAGGUGAUGGACAACUGGUUAAUAUUCCAGUACCGGUGUGUGGUGCGUGAAGAGACUCUGGGAAAGGUCAGCCUCUGAGUGGAUUGAGGUGGCAAGCGGUUAACGACCGCGACGCCGUCCCGCAAGGGAAGAAGUGACUGGCACCUGGGGGCGAGAAAAGCUUCACGUAAUCGAGCACGCCGCCCGUACCUCAAACCGACACAGGUAGAUUGGUAGAGGAUACCAAGGCGAACGGGAGAACCCUCGUUAAGGAACUAGGCAAAAAGGCCCCGUAACUUCGGGAGAAGGGGCGCCGCCGCAAGGCGGCCGCAGCAAAGAGGCUCUACCGACUGUUUACCAAAAACACAGGUCUCUGCAAACGCGAAAGCGGACGUAUAGGGGCUGACACCUGCCCAGUGCCGGAAGGUUAAGAGGAGCGGUUAGGGGAAACCCGAAGCUGUGAAUUGAAGCCCCGGUGAACGGCGGCCGUAACUAUAACGGUCCUAAGGUAGCGAAAUUCCUUGUCGGGUAAGUUCCGACCCGCACGAAAGGUGUAACGAGUGGAGCACUGUCUCAACGGGGGGCCCGGCGAAAUUGAAGUACGUGUAAAGAUGCGCGUUACCCGCGGUCGGACAAAAAGACCCUGUGGAGCUUUACUGUAGCCUGUCAUUGCGUUAGGGCACUGUCUGUGUAGGCUAGCUGGGAGCCUGGGAAGCGUGGUCGCUAGACUGCGUGGAGGCGAUAGGUGAAAUACCAGCCUGACGAUGUUUUGACCCUAACCGCGCUUACUGAAUCGUAGGCCGGGACAGUGGCAGGUGGGCAGUUUGACUGGGGCGGUCGCCUCCUAAACAGUAACGGAGGCGCCCAAAGGUUGGCUCAGGUGGAAUGGAAACCCACCGUAGAGUGCAAAAGCAUAAGCCAGCUUGACUGCAAGGCCAACGCGCCGAGCAGAGACGAAAGUCGGGUUUAGUGAUCCCACGGCACUGAGUGGAAGGGCCGUGGCUUACCGGAUAAAAGCUACCCCGGGGAUAACAGGCUGAUCUUGCCCAAGAGUUCACAUCGACGGCAAGGUUUGGCACCUCGAUGUCGGCUCAUCGCAUCCUGGGGCUGGACAAGGUCCCAAGGGUUGGGCUGUUCGCCCAUUAAAGCGGUACGUGAGCUGGGUUCAGACCGUCGUGAGACAGGUCGGUCUCUAUCCGCCGUGGGCGCAGGGGAUUUGAGGGGAGCUGCCCUUAGUACGAGAGGACCGGGGUGGACGGAGCGCCUGUGAGCCGGUUGUCACGCCAGUGGCACAGCCGGGUAGCAGACUCCGGAGCAGAUAACCGCUGAAAGCAUCUAAGUGGGAAACUGACCUCAAGAUGAGAUCCCCCAUAGCGAAAGCUAGUAAGACCGCUCGGAGACGACGAGUUGGAUAGGCUGGGUGUGGAAGCGGUGAGAGCCGUGGAGCAAACCAGUACUAAUGGUCGAGGGCUUUUGUAU